UACGGAGGGGGCUAGCGUUGUUCGGAAUUACUGGGCGUAAAGCGCACGUAGGCGGCUACGUAAGUCAGAGGUGAAAGCCUGGAGCUCAACUCCAGAACUGCCUUUGAGACUGCGUCGCUCGAAUCUGGGAGAGGUGAGUGGAAUUCCGAGUGUAGAGGUGAAAUUCGUAGAUAUUCGGAAGAACACCAGUGGCGAAGGCGGCUCACUGGACCGGCAUUGACGCUGAGGUGCGAAAGCGUGGGGAGCAAACAGG
rnacentral:rRNA from 1 species